GCUCCAGUAGCGCAAUCGGUUAGCAUGCGGUACUUAUGUGACAGUACAGAGCAAUGCUGAGUUUGUGAGUUCGAGCCUCACCUGGCGCA
rnacentral:tRNA from 1 species